UCAAAACAGCGGACUUCGGUCCUUGCUGCACCCUUGUCUUUUGCGUACCGUAUGUUUCCUCGGCGGGCUUGCCUGCCGGUUGGACAUUAUCAAACCUUUUUGUAGUUGCAAUCAGCGUCAAGAAAACAAAUAAUAAUUA
rnacentral:misc_RNA from 1 species